GACGUAGGGCGCGAGCGUUGUCCGGAUUUAUUGGGCGUAAAGAGCUCGUAGGCGGCUUGUCGCGUCGAAUGUGAAAUCUCGGGGCUCAACUCCGAGCUUGCAUUCGAUACGGGCAGGCUAGAGUUCGGUAGGGGAGACUGGAAUUCCUGGUGUAGCGGUGAAAUGCGUAGAGAUCCGGAGGAACACCAGUGGCGAAGGCGACACGCUGGGCCAUACCUGACGCUAAAGCGCGACAGCAUGGGGAGCAAACGGG
rnacentral:rRNA from 1 species